UACGGAGGGUGCGAGCGUUAAUCGGAAUUACUGGGCGUAAAGCGCGCGUAGGCGGUUACGUAAGUUGGAUGUGAAAGCCCGGGCUUAACCUGGGAAUGGCAUUUGAUACUGCGUAGCUAGAGUCUGGUAGAGGGAAGCGGAAUUCCGGGUGUAGCGGUGAAAUGCGUAGAUAUCCGGAGGAACACCAGUGGCGAAGGCGGCUUCCUGGACCAAGACUGACGCUGAGGCGCGAAAGGCGUGGGGAGCAAACAGG
rnacentral:rRNA from 1 species